UAGGGAAUCUUCCACAAUGGACGAAAGUCUGAUGGAGCAACGCCGCGUGAACGAUGAAGGCUUUCGGGUCGUAAAGUUCUGUUGUAAGGGAAGAACAAGUGCCGCAGGCAAUGGCGGCACCUUGACGGUACCUUGCGAGAAAGCCACGGCUAACUACGUGCCAGCAGCCGCGGUAAUACGUAGGUGGCAAGCGUUGUCCGGAAUUAUUGGGCGUAAAGCGCGCGCAGGCGGCCUCUUAAGUCUGAUGUGAAAGCCCCCGGCUCAACCGGGGAGGGCCAUUGGAAACUGGGAGGCUUGAGUAUAGGAGAGAAGAGUGGAAUUCCACGUGUAGCGGUGAAAUGCGUAGAGAUGUGGAGGAACACCAGUGGCGAAGGCGACUCUUUGGCCUAUAACUGACGCU
rnacentral:rRNA from 1 species